GAUGAACGCUGGCGGCGUGCCUAAUACAUGCAAGUCGAGCGAACAGACGAGGAGCUUGCUCCCUUGACGUUAGCGGCGGACGGGUGAGUAACACGUGGAUAACCUACCUAUAAGACUGGGAUAACUUCGGGAAACCGGAGCUAAUACCGGAUAACAUGUUGAACCGCAUGGUUCAACAGUGAAAGACGGUCUUGCUGUCACUUAUAGAUGGAUCCGCGCCGCAUUAGCUAGUUGGUAAGGUAACGGCUUACCAAGGCAACGAUGCGUAGCCGACCUGAGAGGGUGAUCGGCCACACUGGAACUGAGACACGGUCCAGACUCCUACGGGAGGCAGCAGUAGGGAAUCUUCCGCAAUGGGCGAAAGCCUGACGGAGCAACGCCGCGUGAGUGAAGAAGGUCUUCGGAUCGUAAAACUCUGUUAUUAGGGAAGAACAAAUGUGUAAGUAACUAUGCACGUCUUGACGGUACCUAAUCAGAAAGCCACGGCUAACUACGU
rnacentral:rRNA from 1 species